rnacentral:lncRNA from 1 species
CGUGGAUCUGGGAUGGGACGGCUGGGCAGGGUCAGAGGCCACACCCAGAGCCCCUCCCCCACCAGGCCUGCACCGGGGUGAGGGCAGAUAGAGGGCCGGCCCACACUCAGCUGCAGGGUUUCCACGUGGAUUCCCUGAUUGCUGGAGUCACACCUGUAAGUUCUCGGCGGAAACACCUGGAGCUCAGCCUAUCGCCUCCGGAGGGGUCCCAGUGGAGGAUGCGAAUCGGCCCCGGACGCCGCUUCUCCUCGUGCAGAGACCCACCUUACCCCAGAGGAGGUGGGGGAGCCUUGGGCCAAGGAGCGGGGAUUUCAGCCACUUGGGGGUGUGUGCGCGCGCUUCAUCCGCGUCUUUAAGUAGUCCUGGCUUCGGGCAGCCCUUGGUGGAUGCCGUGUCUUCCUGGAAUGCGCCCUUUUCCAAAACCACUUUCUGGGUCCAAGAAGAGGAGGGAAGGAUCACUUGUCUGUUUCAGAAAGAAAGUUCUUCCAUUCCCAAAGAACCCUGCCAGGCUCCCUUCCACCCAGGUGACUCUAACCUCAUCUUUCUUGACCUUAUCUACUACAUUUGGUGCUAUUGAUCACUCUCUUCUCCUGCAUCUUGGAAGGAGUUUCAGAGGUCAUUGACUCUAACUCACUCAUUAUACAGAUGAUGAAACUGAGGCCCAGAGAUGAAGUGACUUGUUUAAGUUCCUGCCGGUGGUAAGUGACUAAGACAUAAUUUAUAUUCAUGUCUUCCUAAAUCCAUGUCCAGCAUUCUAACUGC